rnacentral:rRNA from 1 species
GAUGAACGCUGGCGGCGUGCUUAACACAUGCAAGUCGAACGGAAAGGCCCAAGCUUGCUUGGGUACUCGAGUGGCGAACGGGUGAGUAACACGUGGGUGAUCUGCCCUGCACUUCGGGAUAAGCCUGGGAAACUGGGUCUAAUACCGGAUAGGACCACUUCUUGGAUGUUGUGGUGGAAAGUUUUUUCGGCGUGGGAUGAGCUCGCGGCCUAUCAGCUUGUUGGUGGGGUAAUGGCCUACCAAGGCGUCGACGGGUAGCCGGCCUGAGAGGGUGUACGGCCACAUUGGGACUGAGAGACGGCCCAGACUCCGACGGGAGGCAGCAGGGGGGAAUAUUGCACAAUGGGCGCAAGCCUGAUGCGGCGACGCCGCGUGGGGGAGGACGGCCUUCGGGUUGUAAACUCCUUUCGCUAGGGACGAAGCGUUUUGUGACGGUACCUGGAGAAGAAGCACCGGCUAACUACGUG